rnacentral:lncRNA from 1 species
CCCUGAGCCCUAGGCUGCUCCCUACCUCAUUGACAGCCAGGCUUUCAUGUUAAGGUGUAAACGGAUAGAACCGACGCUAAUCCUGGGGAAGGGGAGGGGGGAGGCUUGGGCGUAUAGCACACGCUAGUGUUCGUGGUUUCUAAGGUAUGUAAAACACCUCUCUCAUAUUUCAAUGUCUAUAAAGUGACAUACAGAAAGAACACGUUUGUUGGCCAAAUCAGAACCAUGUAAAACAAAUGAAUGCAUGCAUGCCUGACGGCCUGUCUGAGCCAGCAGCAAUUCCUCACGAUAACAAACCGAUGUGAAUCGACUGGCUUUUAGGAAUAAAGGAGUCCUUUUCCUGACUGACACGCAUCACGGCCGCGCCGGCCCUUACACCUCACGUGCCUUCGGUGUCCCGGCGCCCUGGCAGCCGGCCGUCUACGCAGGUUCGGCUGCACCGCUCCCACCGCAGCCGCAGAGCCAUGAAGGAGCGACGCGCUUCCGCCUACCGAGCCGCGCUUCCGGCCGACGUGGGGCGGCCUGCGCUUCCGGGCCGGCUGAUUCCGCGCGCCCGCGCGCGCCCCACCCAGGACCCGAGCCCGUUUCCCAGCCGCGAGGGUUCCCCACGUCUGUUCUUGCCUGUGGUGGGCUUGCUGCGCCCAGGUCCGUCCGAGGAACCGGAGCAGACGCGUCACGCGCUUCACCGCCGCCCCUCGAACCCCACGACUUGUCUCUCAGAGUGGUGGGGUCAGAGGACCCGGCUCAGUGUUCGACCACGGCGUCCUCUACUGAAGGACCCCAGGCCCUGUGAGGCCCCUGUCCCCCGCGCCUCUGCCGCCGGAAUACGGGAGGCCGGCGUCUCAACCCCAUCUUACCCCAGGUUCUCCAAAUACUUUGUCCCAGCUGGAGAACCUAACUCCGACCCCGGCGUCCAGAGCGGCCCACGUGCGCCCCGCGCCCAGUGCGCGCCCCACCCCGGGGGAGGAGCCGCCUGGCUCCCGUCCACUGGGCCAGAGCGGCAGCCGGGCGGUGCGCUCCGGCGGUCCCGGCUUCCUCUCCGCCCCGGCUCGCUCCCGCCCCCUCCUCUUCCCUCCCCUCCCCGGCCUCUUCCCGCCGUCUCACCCAGCCCGCCCGUCUGCCUUUCCAGUCGGGCCUGGCGGGGGCCGCGCACUCGGCGGCUGAGGCCGUGGGACCGUGGUCACACCCUUUCCAGAAAUUCUCGGCUGGUAACCGCGAAGCUGGAGGAGAGCAAGAGCUGGGAGAACUGGAGAAAACCGCUCUCAUCUGACUUGACUCUGGCUGGGAACCGACGGACGCUGCAUCAUAAUAACCAACAUUUGCAAAGCGUUCUCUGA